rnacentral:lncRNA from 1 species
CACUGCAAAUGAAAAAAGUUUCAGACUCAAAGAAUUAACAAUUUAACCACUAGUUUCCCCUUGAGAUGUUACUGUCACAAGAGAUCCUUACAUUUCCAGUGGCAUUCAACAGAUUCUCCUCUUUAGUGAGGACAGCUGCAGAAAGUUACUGAAUAUUUGCUCCCUCUCAGAUGCAUAAAGAUUAUUUUGUAAGCAAUGUUGGAGAAAGAAAGAGCUCAAAAGGAGGGUGAACAUCAGAAGAAAAAAGGGACAGAUCUACAAGGUGCUUGUGACAUCUGUUUUCACUUUGUGCUGUGGCCAGUGGCAGAGUGGAAGACCAACCUUUAAUCAACUUAGCAACAUGGUGCCCAUGUCCAGUUAUUCAAGUGCUUAGUAAAUACUGUUACAGAGAGCCCAAUGAGGAAUGUGGGUCUUCUGGGAAUGUGUAAGAAAGAAAAGGCACGUUCUUACCCUCGAGAUGCUUAUAGUCCUGUUCAGAUGACAAGCUUUAUGUGUUAAUACGUUAAUUCAGAUCUUUUCCUCACUUCCUUCAAAACUCCAUCCAAAGUUCUUCUCCUGCAGGCAGCCUUACGGCUCUGACUAAUAGC